rnacentral:rRNA from 1 species
UGGGGAAUCUUCCGCAAUGGACGAAAGUCUGACGGAGCAACGCCGCGUGAGUGAAGACGGCCUUCGGGUUGUAAAGCUCUGUGAUCCGGGAUGAAAGAGCCUUGGGUAAAUAGCCUAAGGAAGUGACGGUACCGGAAAAGCAAGCCACGGCUAACUACGUGCCAGCAGCCGCGGUAAUACGUAGGUGGCAAGCGUUGUCCGGAAUUAUUGGGCGUAAAGCGCGCGCAGGCGGCUUCCUAAGUCCAUCUUAAAAGUGCGGGGCUUAACCCCGUGAUGGGAUGGAAACUGCGAAGCUGAAGUAUCGGAGAGGAAAGUGGAAUUCCUAGUGUAGCGGUGAAAUGCGUAGAGAUUAGGAAGAACACCGAUGACGAAGGCGACUUUCUGGACGAAAACUGACGCUGAGCAACGAUAGAGUGGGGAGCAAACAGG